AUAUAUGUUGGAAGCUUCAAUGGCUUGUGUUGAAAUCCGAUCCUCAAUGAUGAAGAAUUUGAUCUGCUCAAACUCAAAAUGGAUGGUAGCGAGAUUGUGAGUGAGGGUCCAAGGUGCAGUCUCGGUAGUAAGAAGGGAAGUAAUGUUGUGAUCGAGCAAAGUUGGAGAACAAAUACCCAUUACUCAAAGCAUUGAAUUCAAGGUUAAAGUCAAGAACGUUGGUGCCAGUCUUGUCAAGGUUAAUUCUAUUGUCUUGCUUUCUUGUUUAUUGCGUUCACAUGUGGAUAGUAGUUGAUAGUGAUGAAUGUUGGUUAGAGUUAGAUUGUUGUCAGUGAAUAUGGGUGUGAUUAAUGCUUGUUUUAGGACACGUUUUAGUUGAUAGUGA